CCGAGCAGCCGGGGUGUCAGCGGUACCCUGAACCAGCAAUCCGCUAUAGCUGGGGUGAUAUCAAACUGAGGAUUUUGGACUGCAGAGCAGCCCUUUAUAAGUGGCGUUGAUGUUUGGGUCUUACGCAACAGGAAUCCAUGAACCGGGUCAGGUCAGGAAUGGAGCAGCCCUAAGUGGAACCUUCUGUGUGCCGUAAGGGUGCCUGGGCUGAGUUAACUGUAAAGGUAACGUUUGUGGUUGGGAUUCGAAGGGCGAUGCUCGG
rnacentral:SRP_RNA from 1 species